rnacentral:rRNA from 1 species
GAGUGGCGAACGGGUGAGUAAUGUAUCGGAACGUGCCCAGUAGCGGGGGAUAACUACGCGAAAGCGUAGCUAAUACCGCAUACGCCCUACGGGGGAAAGCAGGGGAUCUUCGGACCUUGCACUAUUGGAGCGGCCGAUAUCGGAUUAGCUAGUUGGUGGGGUAACGGCCUACCAAGGCGACGAUCCGUAGCUGGUUUGAGAGGACGACCAGCCACACUGGGACUGAGACACGGCCCAGACUCCUACGGGAGGCAGCAGUGGGGAAUUUUGGACAAUGGGGGAAACCCUGAUCCAGCCAUCCCGCGUGUGCGAUGAAGGCCUUCGGGUUGUAAAGCACUUUUGGCAGGAAAGAAACGUCGCGGGCUAAUACCCCGCGAAACUGACGGUACCUGCAGAAUAAGCACCGGCUAACUACGUGCCAGCAGCCGCGGUAAUACGUAGGGUGCAAGCGUUAAUCGGAAUUACUGGGCGUAAAGCGUGCGCAGGCGGUUCGGAAAGAAAGAUGUGAAAUCCCAGAGCUUAACUUUGGAACUGCAUUUUUAACUACCGGGCUAGAGUGUGUCAGAGGGAGGGUGGAAUUCCGCGUGUAGCAGUGGAAAUGCGUAGAUUAUGGCGGAGGACCACCGAUGGCGAAGGCAGCCUCCU